rnacentral:rRNA from 1 species
UACGUAGGGAGCAAGCGUUGUCCGGAAUUACUGGGCGUAAAGCGUGCGCAGGCGGUUAUGCAAGACAGAUGUGAAAUCCCCGGGCUCAACCUGGGAACUGCAUUUGUGACUGCAUAGCUAGAGUACGGUAGAGGGGGAUGGAAUUCCGCGUGUAGCGGUGGAAUGCGCAGAUAUCAGGAAGAACACCAACGGCGAAGGCAGCUCGCUGGGACGGUACUGACGCUGAGACGCGAAAGCGUGGGGAGCGAACAGG